UAAAAACAACCAAAAUCCCUAAUUCAUUUUUACGAUUUCAGUCUUCGACCUAAAUACAAAUCUUCUUCUCCAGCUCCGGUCCCCUCUCUCCGCCGUCCCUCAGCUCCUUUUACUUCUUCCUCUCUCGCAGCGCUUUUCCUCUAUUCCUCUUCUUCUCCGACACUAAAACCCUAAAGUCAUUGUUCUUCGCCUUCCAUAUUUCCUCAGUACGUGCUUCUUCUUCUCCGACGCUUAAACACUCUCUCCGACGAAGAAACCUAAAGUCACUAUGUUUCUCUCUCUAGAACUCCAGAAACCCUAGCUCUUCUGAUUCACCCUCACAAUGGGUUCCGAGGAAUCCAGCGUCGUUGGGCUUCUCAUGGAGACGCAGCCACACGAUAAUUUGCAGCAUGCACUAGUUUCUUCCCGUGACACCAACAAUCUACCCAACAACGCGGUGGUUGAUGCGGUGGCCGAUGUUUCAAAUCACAGGUGAUUUGCGAAUUCACUCGCUUGUUUUUCUGUUUGAGAAAUUGUUGUUAUGAAUUUUGUUACUGUGGUUGGUUUUUUAGAGUCACUGAAGAAAAAAGCCAUGUUUCAAGGGAUCUAAUAUGUGCCUGGUUUUUGUGUUAUUGUGUUAUAUGUUCCCUCACCAUUCCUGCUUUGAGGUUUUGAUUUAAUAUUUUAAUUUCCUAGUCAUUAAGUUUUAAUCCUUGCAUUUUAACAGUUAAGUUAAUUUUUGUGUUAUCAUUGUAAUUGCUCUUAUUGUUCAAGAUGGAAAGCACUAGCCUUACCCUCUAUGUGUCUCAGACUGAUGGUGAUUAUGUUUGCCAAACACCAGAGUGGUAGUCAAGUCUCUGCAUAGCUAAAAAAAUGCUUCUGAAGUUUAGGAAAAAGAGUCACAGCCCGACUACACGCAACACGGAAAUAGAUAAUGUCAGCGUUGAUGGUUCUGAGGUAGAUGAGAUUGGAACUAACAGUUCCUCUAAUGAAGAAUUUGAUCUCUCAAGAUGAAACUCCCACUGCCAGCACGACUCAACAAAUGUCUUCUCGCUCGUCUUCACUGCUAUCGCCAUUUCGAAAGAAUAGUGAAAAAAAGAUACAAAUGGCUUGAUAGAGUGGAUGCUGUUAUUGGUAAGGCUAAGUUGUAUUGUGUUUAGUGUUUAUUUGAAUUUUUCUUAUGACAUUAAAUAAACCCUUUUCAUGAACCCUUGUCAUAAACCCUUCUUCUUUAUUUCUUCAUUUCUUGCAGAUGAUUAUGAUUAUGUGACUGUGUAUUUAAGGAAAAAUACUAGUUGAUAUGUAUUUUAAAGUCAUAUGUUUUAAUUUUUUCAAGUAAGUGGUUGUCUUGCUUAUAUAUAUUUAGAUGUGUGUGUUUAAUGUUCAUGCAAUGUAUUAAAUCUUUGAAUGGUAUAAUAAAACUAUUAUGCAAGGGGCACAUAUACUUUAGAUGUGUGCCUGUGACAUACAUUCAUCAUAUAGUUAAUUGUAUGCAAAACAUGUAUAUUUUAUGCAUGUGGUUAAUUGUAUGCAAAACAGAAAAUGUUAGUAAUAUGCAUACACACCUUAUAUAAGUUAUCGUUGUUGGUAGAAUCUACUAAUUUUCCCUUGUUUACACCGUUUUAUUCUAUAUAGAUUGUUAAGCUAAUAGAAUACUAAUUUAGCAAAAGUUUAUGUGAUUGUUGCAUGCACUAUCAAGAAGAGCAACACAAGUACAUACACGCAUGAGCAAUUGAAAUUUCCAAUUUUCUUUUGAAAAUGAUGAAAUUGAUUAAUGCAAAAUCUUUAUAACCCUUAAUUGUAAUGUACAGAGAAAUUUAGCAGGAGUUCGGAACAUGUUAGGUGAGCAAGGGAUACUAAUUUAACAGGGUGAUCAUCGAUGACUUUAUUUGUAAAAUAUUUGAAAUUUGAAAUUUGGAUGAGUGUAAUAUAUUGACAGGUUGAGCUGUGAUCUAUUUGCUGUUGUGAUUUUCAGUUUGAUUACUAGAAGAUGUUCUCAUUCAGGAUGAAAUAUAUAAGGCUCGACUAGCCAACAUUAAACGAGAAGACGAAUCUAUCUUGCGAGAGAAGGAACGUUACGACCUAGAUAAGGGAAACGCAUGCGUGGACAAUUGAAGAUAAAUUAGAAGUUGAUUUGCGCAUUGUUGGAAAGUCAAUUAUGACCAUCUAGGAGUCACGUUCGACUGGAGAGAACUAGUUUUCUUAGAGAGCAAAUCAGUAUAUAUAUAUAUAUAUAUAUAUUUGUAUUGUAUUUUGUGUUUUGAGAAUUUGAUUGUAAACUUAGCUUCUAGAGCACUUAUAAAAUUAGUGAUGUUUUAUUUGUA